GGCUAGAGCCGACCUAUCGCUCUGUAAAGUGUACAGAGAGGAAAGUCCGGGCAGCAAAGGGUGCCGCACCUUGCGAAAGCAAGGGUGCAAGUCGCAAAGUCUUGUAACAGACAGUGCCACAGAAAUCAGACCGCCCCCUGCUAUGCCGGGGGCAAGGGUGAAAAGGUGGGGUAAGAGCCCACCGAUGUAAAAGGCAACUUUUACAGUCAGGAAAACCUUGCGGGCUGAAAGACCAAAUAAACCCUGCUUUUGGGGUUACUCGCUCCAGUUAGUUUUUCACUACGGCAGGAAGGGUAGGUCGAUUGUGGUUAUGUGCAAACAUAAUCCCAGAUAAAUGAUAGGUAAUGUAGUUUAGACUUCUAAACUACAAAACAGAACCCGGCUUACAGGCUCUUUACGCUA
rnacentral:RNase_P_RNA from 1 species